rnacentral:rRNA from 1 species
GAGUUUGAUUCUGGCUCAGAACGAACGCUGGCGGCAGGCCUAACACAUGCAAGUCGAACGCCCCUUCGGGGGAGUGGCAGACGGGUGAGUAACGCGUGGGAACCUUCCCUGUGGUACGGAAUAACUCAGAGAAAUUUGAGCUAAUACCGUAUACGCCCUUCGGGGGAAAGAUUUAUCGCCAUAGGAUGGGCCCGCGUCGGAUUAGCUUGUUGGUGAGGUAACGGCUCACCAAGGCGACGAUCCGUAGCUGGUCUUAGAGGAUGAUCAGCCACACUGGGACUGAGACACGGCCCAGACUCCUACGGGAGGCAGCAGUGGGGAAUAUUGGACAAUGGGCGAAAGCCUGAUCCAGCCAUGCCGCGUGAGUGACGAAGGCCUUAGGGUUGUAAAGCUCUUUUGGCGGGGACGAUAAUGACGGUACCCGCAGAAUAAGCCCCGGCUAACUUCGUGCCAGCAGCCGCGGUAAUACGAAGGGGGCUAGCGUUGUUCGGAAUCACUGGGCGUAAAGCGCACGUAGGCUGACUGGUCAGUUGGGGGUGAAAUCCCGGGGCUCAACCUCGGAACUGCCUUCAAUACUGCCAGUCUUGAGUCCGAGAGAGGUGA